UUUUAUAAAUAUUUUUCCCAGCGAUUUUGCGGAUGAUCAGAAGCGUAAUAUAUGAAAAUUAGAAUGAAUAACAAAUUUA
rnacentral:sRNA from 1 species